rnacentral:rRNA from 1 species
CAGUCGAGCGGUAACAGAGAGUAGCUUGCUACUCUGCUGACGAGCGGCGGACGGGUGAGUAAUGCUUGGGAAUGUACCUUAUGGUGGGGGACAACAGUUGGAAACGACUGCUAAUACCGCAUAAUGUCUUCGGACCAAAGCGGGGGACCUUCGGGCCUCGCGCCAUAAGAUCAGCCCAAGUGGGAUUAGCUAGUUGGUGAGGUAAUGGCUCACCAAGGCGACGAUCCCUAGCUGGUUUGAGAGGAUGAUCAGCCACACUGGGACUGAGACACGGCCCAGACUCCUACGGGAGGCAGCAGUGGGGAAUAUUGCACAAUGGGCGCAAGCCUGAUGCAGCCAUGCCGCGUGUGUGAAGAAGGCCUUCGGGUUGUAAAGCACUUUCAGUAAGGAGGAAAGGUUGGAUGUUAAUAGCAUUCAGCUGUGACGUUACUUACAGAAGAAGCACCGGCUAACUCCGUGCCAGC